CAGUCGCCACGGUAAUACGAAGGGGGCUAGCGUUGUUCGGAAUCACUGGGCGUAAAGCGCACGUAGGCGGAUACUUAAGUCAGGGGUGAAAUCCCAGAGCUCAACUCUGGAACUGCCUUUGAUACUGGGUAUCUUGAGUAUGGAAGAGGUGAGUGGAAUUCCGAGUGUAGAGGUGAAAUUCGUAGAUAUUCGGAGGAACACCAGUGGCGAAGGCGGCUCACUGGUCCAUUACCGACGCUGAGGUGCGAAAGCGUGGGGAGCAAACAGGAUUAGAUACCCCAGUAGUCCCUGUCUCUUAUAC
rnacentral:rRNA from 1 species